rnacentral:tRNA from 1 species
GCCACCGUAGCUCAACGGCAGAGCGGCGCCUUCGUAAGGCGUAGGUUGUGGGUUCAAGUCCCUCCGGUGGCU